CUGUGGGUUUAAAGCAUUACUUACUCAAAUAAUUAACUUAAGCAAUUACCAAUUAUUUUAAUUUCUACCAUAGUAAUUUAGAAAUUCCCAAAUAAUAUCAGCUGCAUUUCUAUUUGCUUGCCUUACCUUCUAUUGAUACUUUAAAAUUACUGAUGAUUUUUAGUCUAUUCCAUUGAGUUCCAUGUCAUUUCUCUUCUUUUUUUCAGAAUAUUCCCUGUCUAUAGUCGCAUUUUUUUUCUCUCAAUUGAUGCUUAAAAUUAUUUUGCAAGUUGGAAAAAAAUGCAGUUUUAAUUUCAUUUGCACCAAAUUUAAUAGAUUAAUUAGGAGAGAAUAGAUCUCUUUAAAAUUGAGUCUUCCUCUCCAACUGCAAGAGAGAGAAUGUGUGAGUGGAGGAGGGAAAGAGAAUCCCAAGAAGAUUUCUCUGACAGCAUCGAGCCCAAAUCCGUGGGCUAGAGUCCAUGAACUGGGAGAUCAUGACUGGAGCUGAAAUCAAGAGCCAGAUGCUUAACCCAACUGAGCCACCCAGGUUAAUGCAAGAGUGGAAGGGAGUGUGGAUAAGAUACUGUGGAUAUAAAGUGAUAAUGCAAAAUGAACUGAUUAAUAGAUGGACACAAGAAUGAAUGAUUUGAUGGAUAUGGGCCUAAAAGAAUAUAUAGUUUUAACUGAGGUGUUACCAGCUUAAGAAGUGAGAUAUUUUAGAUGCUUCACUACCUGACAUUUCCAUAUCAAUCCAAAUUCUUAUACUUGUUUAUCAUUUCUGUGGACUUCAUUCUUCAACAGUGCUGCAUGUUUCAUAAGCAAGGACCAAAGAGACUUUGACCACAGGUGGUGAACAAGUAUACAAGAGGAUCAUAGAUACCUUCCUGCAGUGGUUCCAUCCACAGCAUCGCCAAAUUGAUGUUGUUAUUUCCCUCUUUUUGAAGCUCAUUGCAUCAUUGUAUCUCAAAGGGCACAAGUUAUAAAUAUAAAUAUAGAUAUAAAUGUAAAUAUACAGAUAUAAAUAUAAAUAUAUAAAUAUAAAUAUAAACAUAAAUCUCCCCAGGAAUAGAAGUGGCCUGCUUUUUGGCAAGUAAUGGCCAAGAAUGUUAAGUACUUCUUUGUUCUCUGACUAUAUCUUGAGCUUUUCUCUAUUGUUACUUACUUCAUUGAUUUUUUUUUUUCUCUGUUUUACUUUACAAGUGGGAAUGAGAUUUGCAUGUGGUAAAUGUAAUUAAUGCAACCCCAUGGACACCUUGGUCAUACCAUAGAUUAUAACCAGGCUAUCUCACAAGCUGAGUACCUCCCAUGUGCCAGUUUGGAUACCAUUUGUAAAAUGCGUUGUUCGUAAUUUGAAUCAUGAGCCCUCAGUUGUUAGAGUGGUUGGUCCAAAACAGUAGCCUCUUAAAACAUUUGUGUUACAUGCAAAUAGAUAUUCUGUAGUUUUAGGUUUUAUUCAACCUAGUAGAUCUCACUCUAGAACACGAUCAGAGCCUGACCAUAGUUGACCUCUUCCUUAGUACCCAAAUUUAAGACUUGGAUGCUGUCACAACUCUGGUUGUUUAAGGUAGAACCAGACUCUUUAACUGACAUUUUUAGCCUUGGCAAUGCCAUCCUGUAGAACACAUGGUUCUAUGAUUUUAUUGGUAUCAUUGGAAUUUUGAAAUUGGAGUAAAGAACUCAAGGCAACCAAGAUAUUUCACUUUUAUUCACAUUAUCCUGACUUUUAUUUGUUUUCUGUUUAAUCUAAAUAGGCUUAAUACAGAUGUCUGUGUUUAUUGGAAGUUUUAAUUGACUACUUCUAAAACAUAAACUGUAUUAUAAUCAGGGAACUACUAUCUGCAUUGCCCAACUUGUCUUAGUAGACAGGUUUGACACAUAGCACACUGAAAUAGGGCCAAUAAUAGGAUUAUUAAACAGUUUAAAGCAAAAUUUGGUCAUUCAUCCUUCAUCUUUCAUUCCUACUUCCUAGGUGUAACAAGCAUUAAUCAGUUAUGCUACAGUUAAUAUUUCUAAGCUCAUACAGUUUAUGCGCAAUUUAUUUUACAAAUAAGACAUUAUGGUUUUGCAGCUAUAUUUUUUAUUAAAUAUACUGUGGAUGUAUUUCUAACCCAAUAAAU